UACGUAGGGUGCAAGCGUUAUCCGGAAUUAUUGGGCGUAAAGAGCUCGUAGGCGGUCUGUCGCGUCUGCUGUGAAAAUCCAGGGCUUAACCCUGGACCUGCAGUGGGUACGGGCAGACUAGAGUGCGGUAGGGGAGAUCGGAAUUCCUGGUGUAGCGGUGAAAUGCGCAGAUAUCAGGAGGAACACCGGUGGCGAAGGCGGAUCUCUGGGCCGUAACUGACGCUGAGGAGCGAAAGCAUGGGGAGCGAACAGG
rnacentral:rRNA from 1 species